AGAGUUUGAUCCUGGCUCAGGACGAACGCUGGCGGCGUGCCUAACACAUGCAAGUCGAACGAACUUAGCUGAGCUUGCUUGGCGAAAGUUAGUGGCGGACGGGUGAGUAACACGUGAGUAACCUGCCUUUCAGAGGGGGAUACCGUUUGGAAACGAACGUUAAUACCGCAUAAUGCAGCGUGACCGCAUGAUCGUGCUGCCAAAGGAGCAAUCCGCUGAAAGAUGGGCUCGCGGCUGAUUAGAUAGUUGGUGGGGUAACGGCCUACCAAGUCGACGAUCAGUAGCCGGACUGAGAGGUUGAUCGGCCACAUUGGGACUGAGGCACGGCCCAGACUCCUACGGGAGGCAGCAGUGGGGAAUAUUGCGCAAUGGGGGAAACCCUGACGCAGCAACGCCGCGUGUGGGAAGAAGGUCUUCGGAUUGUAAACCAUAGUCUUCGGUGACGAUAAUGACGGUAGCCGAGGAGGAAGCUCCGGCUAACUACGUGCCAGCAGCCGCGGUAAUACGUAGGGAGCGAGCGUUGUCCGGAUUUACUGGGUGUAAAGGGUGCGUAGGCGGGACUGCAAGUCAGGCGUGAAAUCUACCGGCUUAACUGGUAAACUGCGCUUGAAACUGUAGUUCUUGAGUGAAGUAGAGGUAAGCGGAAUUCCCGGUGUAGCGGUGAAAUGCGUAGAUAUCGGGAGGAACACCAGUGGCGAAGGCGGCUUACUGGGCUUUUACUGACGCUGAGGCACGAAAGCAUGGGUAGCAAAACAGGAUUAGAUACCCUGGUAGUCCAUGCCGUAAACGAAUGAUAAAUAGGUGUGGGGGAGUUUGACCUCUUCCCGUGCCGGAGUUAACACAAUAAGUAUUCCACUUGGGGAGUACGGCCGCAAAGGUUGAAACUCAAAGGAAUUGGCGGGGGCCCGCACAAGCAGUGGAGUAUGUGGUUUAAUUCGACGCAACGCGAAGAACCUUACCAGGUCUUGACAUCCAACUAACGAAGCAGAGAUGCAUUAGGUGCCUUAGGGAAAGUUGAGACAGGUGGUGCAUGGUUGUCGUCAGCUCGUGUCGUGAGAUGUUGGGUUAAGUCCCGCAACGAGCGCAACCCUUGCCAUUAGUUGCUACGUGAAGAGCACUCUAAUGGGACUGCCGUUGACAAAACGGAGGAAGGUGGGGACGACGUCAAAUCAUCAUGCCCCUUAUGACCUGGGCUACACACGUACUACAAUGGCCGUUAACAGAGGGAAGCUAUCCCGCGAGGAGGAGCAAAACCCUAAAAACGGUCCCAGUUCGGAUUGUAGGCUGCA
rnacentral:rRNA from 1 species